rnacentral:rRNA from 1 species
ACUGUAGGUGAAAGACUUACAUCUCUUCGGAGCAUUUUACGAGGUGCUGCAUGGUUGUCGUCAGCUCGUGCCGUGAGGUGUCGGGUUAAGUCCAUACGAGCGCAACCCCUACCUUUAGUUGCCAUCAGGUUAAGCUGGGGACUCUAAAGGAACUGCCUACGCAAGUAGUGAGGAAGGCGGGGAUGACGUCAAGUCAUCAUGGCCCUUACGGCCUGGGCUACACACGUGCUACAAUGGUCGGUACAAAGGGUUGCCAAGCCGCGAGGUGGAGCUAAUCCCAUAAAACCGAUCGUAGUCCGGAUCGCAGUCUGCAACUCGACUGCGUGAAGUCGGAAUCGCUAGUAAUCGUGAAUCAGAAUGUCACGGUGAAUACGUUCCCGGGCCUU